GUGGGCGUAGGAAAUUUGAGAGGAGCUGUCCUUAGUACGAGAGGACCGGGAUGGACAUACCUCUGGUGUACCAGUUGUCGUGCCAACGGCAUAGCUGGGUAGCUAUGUGUGGACGGGAUAAGUGCUGAAAGCAUCUAAGCAUGAAGCCCCCCUCAAGAUGAGAUUUCCCAACUUCGGUUAUAAGAUCCCUCAAAGAUGAUGAGGUUAAUAGGUUCGAGGUGGAAGCAUGGUGACAUGUGGAGCUGACGAAUACUAAUCGAUCGAAGACUUAAUCAAAA
rnacentral:rRNA from 1 species